CUCAAUCCGAUUUCAUAUCUGGAUUAUUCAAGAUCCAGUCUCCUCGUGGAGACGUCCUGCACGUCUCGUCUCGAUCGUUUUAGAAUCUUAAUCUUAUCUGAGAAGUGAUCGAGUUCGAAGAUUAAGAAGAAGAUAUCUGACAAAGAUUGGUUCAAGCGAACGAUGUGGAGGUUUCUCAGUUAGCCCUGCCGUGUAAUCCUCAGGAUUCUUGGUUGUCUGUAUUCUUGAAUUACUGCUCCAACAGAGGAAUUAUAUCUUCGGAAUAGUGGAGGUGGUCCUGGUACGCCAGCACUGUCUACAGGUAAAGCCCCCUCCUCUUGAAUCGAGAAUCCUCUUUAUCUCGGAGAAGGAAGAGGGUUGGAUAGAGGUCAGCUUCGACGCUAGUACUGAGUUCAGGUUGGUACGUUUUCCUUAGUUUCAUAUCUAUCACUAUCUUUAUAUAUAUACAGGGUGGCCAA